AUUGAACGCUGGCGGCAUGCCUUACACAUGCAAGUCGAACGGUAACAGGUCUUCGGAUGCUGACGAGUGGCGAACGGGUGAGUAAUACAUCGGAACGUGCCCGAUCGUGGGGGAUAACGAAGCGAAAGCUUUGCUAAUACCGCAUAAGAUCUACGGAUGAAAGCAGGGGACCGCAAGGCCUUGCGCGAACGGAGCGGCCGAUGGCAGAUGAGGUAGUUGGUGGGAUAAAAGCUUACCAAGCCGACGAUCUGUAGCUGGUCUGAGAGGACGACCAGCCACACUGGGACUGAGACACGGCCCAGACUCCUACGGGAGGCAGCAGUGGGGAAUUUUGGACAAUGGGCGAAAGCCUGAUCCAGCCAUGCCGCGUGCAGGAUGAAGGCCUUCGGGUUGUAAACUGCUUUUGUACGGAACGAAAAGACUCUUUCUAAUAAAGAGGGUCCAUGACGGUACCGUAAGAAUAAGCACCGUCUAACUACGUGCCAGCAGCCGCCGUAAAAC
rnacentral:rRNA from 1 species